AGCUACCAACAUUCUUGCUUAUUAAAAUGAGAAAAAAGGCCAUUGGAGUUUAUUAAUGCAUAUGGAAGAUCCAAAGAUAAGAGAAAGGCUAUUGAAGUCUAUUAUUUCAUUGAUUUGUGAAUGUGUAAACACAUUGUUAGCACAUGUAUUACAUCUUGGGAAACAUUAUUACUGAUUUUACAAAAAAAUCACAACUCAAGAAAGAAGGAGACAAGAGAAACUUCACAAGAUCUAUAAAGAGGCAAGCGAAAGGCUCAAAGGCAGUCAAGAGGGAUCUGCAGCUGAGCAAAGAGCAAGAAAAAGAGAAAAGAGAAAUAGUUGGAGAGUGAGAAGCUACCAAAGACAAGAGAAUAAACAAAAUUUGAGUCUUUGUGUUCUUAAAGUGUUUUGGUAUUGUACUCUCCUUCUAAAAUCUCCUUUGUCAUCCUGAAGGAAGUGAGAAAUGACAAAUUUUAUGGUUUCAAAACCUAAGCUGCCAACCUUACUAUUCCAUAUCAUAUAUAAUAAACAGUUCAGUAACUCGUAAUAGUUAAUAUUAUUAUGUUCCUAUUAUACGUUUGGAGGAGUAGAGUGUAAAUUGAUACGAUCCGAGAAAGAAAAUGUAAAUCUAGACAAAUAAUCGAAUUAUAACAAAAUAUAAGAGCAUCAUCAACACUGAGAAACUAUAUGAACUUCUCAAUAAAAAAUAUAUUAGUUUAUAUUUUAGUUAUUUUCAACUAUUAACUGAAUGAUGUGGAACUUAAUUCAACAGGUAUAUGAGAAAUGAACCUCUAUUUAGUGUAUUUUAUAUUUUUAUUUAUUAUGAGAUAAUGAGUGAAAAUAUACAGAUAAAGAUGCUUCUAAGCAUCUCAAACAGAAGAAAACCCAUCAUUUUUUGAUCGGUUUAAGUUCAUAGCCACUCCAAAGAAAGACAAAGUUUUUGCUUAAAGAGAAAAACGAAAGAAAGAUCAGCAUCAAGCACAACGGUUACUCGGACACAAAGCUGGACACGUUUGCUUUCAUGGUGCACCUGGUGGAUCUUUGUGUCCGAUGCCUUGGCUAGGACCUGGACCCGUAGGUCUGAACGCAGUUUGUUCUAUAUUCUUGUAUAUGUUAAUCUUGAACCAUGCAAAGUCUUCUUUUGGGGGUGGCGGUGGUGACCACUCGAGAGGAAUAGGCGGACUGAACACUUUAACUGAUUUUCGUGCAGCCGCUAUAGUUCUAAAAUGCAAAUGUAACACAAGAGAAAAAAACAUAAACAAAGUUAAAGACGCAAUAGAACUACGACGGUUCACCAUAGUGUUAUAACACUUAGAAGUUGCGAGACAAACACUAUCUCUUAGAAUCUGAAUCUUAUAACGUAUAUAAUUUUCAAGGUAGAUAUUGGGUUUCUUCUUAAUUAUCAUCAACACAAGCGAGAAGGAUGCAAUAUAUAUACGAAGGCUGCAUAGGUGGGAUCCCACAAGUCCUAUGUUUUGGGUUUUUUUUUCCUCUUUCUUUUUUCGACACCGUGUUUCGUUUAAAAUUAGUUGUUGUUCGAAUAUGGCUUUGUUUGUCGUAUUAUAGUCAAAUAUUUGAUGAUACUUUUUUUUAAUAAGAAAAAGAGCAUGCUCCCCCACUAAUACUUGCCAAAAAUGACAUCGUCUCGAUAUGACAACACUAAAUAUUUCUAAUUUUAGGAAGUCAUGAGUUAUUAUAACGAUCUUUAAUCGAAUAUGCUUUCUCCACUCAACCUGCCAGAUGUUUUGGUUACGCUCGCUCUAUCUAUUGGCCACAAUGUUAAAAAGGCUUGCAUGUUAAAAAUGUAAAUUGGAAACAAGAAAGAGAAAGCAAGAAAUGAAAAGAACGUCUCUAGGGGAAGAGAAAGCAAGAAAUGUUUUUCAUUUGCGUUGAAAAAAUAAUUCUACAGAUGUCAACGCCAGAUAAUUUAACACAUAAACUUUUAAUUAUGUAGUUACUUUAUUUUAAAACUAGUAUAUUUCACCCGAGCAAAGCUCGGGUAUUUAAUUCAUUGUUCUUUUUUUCUUAUCUUUAAUUGAUAACAAAAACCUUUUUUUAGUUUAAUUUAGUAAAAGUAAAUUUGAAUAAUCGGAAGAAAAUAAAUUAUGAUAACAUAAUAUUUAAGUAUAUUAAAAAAUUGCAUAUUUUAGAUAGUAUACUUGGUUGACCAAUAUUAUUGUAGAUGUAAGCAUACUUAAAUAAUUAUUUAUAAUAUUUUAUUUUUGUUUUAAGAAUUCACCUCAAUCAUAUCUAGAUAUAUUUAUAUAUGUUAAUCCUAUGAUAUUUAUUAUAUAAAUUACUGUCCAAAAUUAGUCAUUUAAGAGUUUUACCAAUUCGAUAUUUAAUAAUUGGUCAGCCAUACAAUGUUUACAACACUAACUAUUGUUUAAAAAGAAACAAAUUUAGUGGUCAAGGUUUUGUUCUAUGCCUACUUUGAAUAAUUAAAAGGUUUUGCAUCUGACCUAUUGAUCAAAACAUGAACAGGAAUGUGGGUUGAGAGUCUUCGUGAUGAGGAGGUGGAGAUCGUGGCAAGGAAUACAAAAAUUUUGUUCUUUUUUUCGUUGGAAAUAUAGAUGUCAAAAACUGCUUUGUUUCAAUUUUUUUUUAACUUUUUUUGAUAAAAGAAACUUAAAACAUGUGGCAAAAUAGGAUUGGUUGUGUGACUUGUGAUUUAGUAUAUAAGGGAUACUAAUAUAAUUAUCUUGAGAGACGUUGGUAAAGAAACUUAUUACAACUUAUUACUAAUGAUGCUCUAAGUUAAAUAAACUAAUGAUACAACAAAGGAACAUUUAAUAAUAAAUAAUGAAAACACAUCAAGUCACCAUCACUUAUGUACAUUUUUCAUUUAAGGAAACGCCAACCUCUCUUUAAUAAAAAGGAAACACCAACCUUAAAUGGCACAUAUUCUGAGGAAUCCUCCCAUAAAGAUGAGAACAAUCCCAACUCUUCACGAAUACACAUAUCCGCACCACUCAAAUAUAAGAGAUAGAUAUUAUGACUUUGAAUAUUGCGAACCGCUCCGCCCCGCACCGCAGUUAACAGUAAUAAUUGUGAGAAAAUUAUUUAGGUUAUACUAACAAAAAGAUUAUGUUCGGAGUUUACCAAAAAAAAAAGGAGAUGAUUAUGUUCGAUAUGGUUCGCCGCAAUCACUUCCGACGAUAUAACAAAAAAACGGUGGAGAAUAAAGAUUUUUUUUUUACCUCUCCACUCAGAAAGAUUUAAUUUUCAACUGCUGGUAACACAAAAGUUAACGACCACUCAACAUGACGGCUCAAUAAGCUCAUGGAGUAAACUCUCCAUCAUUGGGGAGGGACGUGUGAGAUCAGUGGCGGAGGCAGGAAAUUUACUCAGGAGGGUCACAGUUAGACUACUCUUUAAAAUUCAAUUUUCAUAAAGGUCAAUAUUCUGUUUUGGUAGGGGUCAACAAAAUAUAUUUGGUAAAUAAUAACAUUAUUUAUAAAAUCCAUGGGUGUCAAUUGACCCCCCUCAUUACCCUCUACCUCCGCCACUGUGUGAGAUCAUUGUUAAAGCGGAAAAUAAAGAUGUUAUUAGAGAUCAAAUCUCCACAUUAGAAAUCGGAAGAAAUUUUAAAUAAUAUAUACGAUAAUAGAGGUUUGGCAACCUCGACAAAGUUCUUCCAAACUUCAUAUUGACCUAUUUAAACAACAAAAAGUAACACGUAGGGAGAAGUUUUUCUGAAAGCAAUAUAUAAAGAUAAUUAAUCUGAUAAAAAUGACAAAACAAAAUGGAUAGAAAAAUAUAGAAAAGUCAAGAAAAAUAAAUAAUCUCGACUCUAAAUUAUAUAAAUAAGAAGGUUUCAAGUAAAAAGAUAAUAUAAAACAGUCAGAGCAUCAAUAAAAGUACAAAUGGUUUGAUUCAUUUUCAAAAGGUACGUAAAUCAUCUUUGUAAAGUUCAUCUAUAAUCAAUAAAACAUAUUUAUAUGUAUUCAUCGAGAUUCGACUUCAAUACACGAGAUGCUCAAUCCUACCAUCAAAUACAUCUUCUGCCGAAUUCAAAUUUAACAUAUAAACUAGGUUUUGAUCCGCAGAUUUUUGAUUUUUAAUCCCUUAUAAAUUGUUUAAUGAUAUUUUUAAAUAUAUAGAUUAUUUGGAUAUAUUUAGGAUCUAUACAUCAGAACCGAACCUACUUAGAUUCAGAAGGAUCCAGUUCGAAACCUAUCCAAAAUUGUAUAGUACUGAAUGGAGUCUAAUUUUGAAAGCCAAAAACUAAUAUCCAAAAAAAUAACUUGUAUUCAAACGGAUACCCCAAUACACAUUCCUAACUGAUUAUAUAAACAAAAAAGAAUUGUUAAUCGUUUUGAACUCUUGUCACAAAUGGAGUAAUUUUAUUUAAACAUGUCAAAUUUUUAUGGUUAACAUUCAAAAGAAAUGUUGUCCAAUUAUCAUGUCAAAGUUAAAAAAAAAUUACUUAUUUUAUUAACCUAGGCUUUUGAGGUUUAGUUACUUAAGAGCACACAGAUAAAAAUAUAUAUAAUAUUUUACCAUUCUAGUAUAUGCAAAUUAUGUAUAAACUAAAAGUUGUUUGAUUUAUUAAAUGAUAAACCAUAAAACUUAUAAUAAAUAGUUCAAAUCUCUCAUUCUUAUAGGGAGAAACAAUAUUAGACGAAUGAUUAAAUCUCUCAUUCUUUGAACAAACUCAAAAGGAGGUUAUUGGAAUCUUGUCAUGAUAUUUCACAAAAAAAAUUCAUGAAUAAAAAUCAACACUAAAUUAUUUAAUCUGAAUGAAAUAAUAUAUGCUUCCGAUAUUAAAAAUCACUCCGAUUUGAAGAAGUGUGUUUCUGAGAUUCUUAGAAUGAAAUAAGAUAUCAAAAACCACCUAUAUAAAAAAUAAAUUUGUAUACAUAAAAGUAUAUACAUUAGAUUAAUCACAUAAAUUAAACUAAUAUCUUUUGUUAAUUUACAGUCACGUUUUUUGUAAAAAAAUCAAAACAAUCAUUUAUUUACUUUUAUAUGAUAUAAAUUAAAAUUUAUUGAUAGUGACAUAGAUAUAUAGUAUAUUUUAAUAUAAAUAUUUAUUAUUGACACUUCCUACUCAUAUUAUUUUUAACAUUUGUAUAUUUACUGUAACAAAAAUUUUAACCAUUAAUCACAAAAACAUUUAAUGUAAGAUUUUUCAAUACAAAUUUCAAAAUUAAAAUAUUAAGAUCUCAAUAAUUUUUCAUUGGAAAUUUUAAAAUUUAUAUAUUUAUAUAUGUGUAUAUAGUACAUAAUUUAUUUCAAAUGAUAUUAAUAUAUAUAUAUAUAUAUAUAAUAUGAAUAUCUAUUAAUAAAACUUCAUUCUCAUACGAUUUAUUAGGGUUGGGCAUUUUAUCCGAUACUCGAACACGUAUCUGAAUCCGAUCCGAAAAUCCGAACCGAAGUAGCAAAAUACCAAACAAUUAUUGAAUUCGGAGAGAUUGGAUAUCCAAACCCAAACGGAUAAUAUCCGAACCUGAACAGAUAAUAUCCAAACCCGAAUGAUAUCCGAGGAUAACCAAACAUAAGUAUACUUAACCUUAUAUAUCUAGUUUAUUCCUCUCAUUUUAUUCAAAUUAUUUAUAUUAAUGAUGUACAUUGCUCAAAAUCAGAUAAUAUACAUAAAAUCAUUUGCUACUCACUUAAAAUACAUAUCAAGAUUUUUUUUUCAUUAACAAAAGUUGCAUCUAAAAUUACAAAACAACAACUAAAUUAGUGGUUUUCUAUUUUUAAAGUUUUAUCUCCAAACCUAUUAAAAGUUUAAUCGUUUGAAAAUUAGAAAACCAGUUAAGUUAAAUAUAUAUUUUAAUACAAAAAAUAAUUUAAACAAUGAAUAAUUUAUUUUAUUUUUCUUCAAAAUUAAGAUAUCCAAACCUGGGCCAAAAUAUCCGAAUCCAAACAUAAAAUACUCGAACCGGAUCCAAAGUGUAGAAAUACCCGAACAUGUUCUAUACCUUUAUACUAAAAUACCCAAAAAUCCUAAAUACCUGAUACGAACCCGAACGUGUAUCUAAACGCUCACUCCUACGAUAUAUGAUCAUUUAUAUCUUGCUUGACAAAAAAUGGUUAAACCAUUGAUCACAAAAUUUUCAAUGUGCAAUUUUUUAUCAUUUUUAGUAAUUUAUAGUUGUUUUUAAAAAUUCAAAAUAUAACAUAUAAGAAGAAAUCUACAUUUUUUUAUUAUAUCCUUAAUGUGAUUUUUUUAAUUUUUUUAAUAAUAUAAAAUUAAACAAAAAAGAGAGAGGGUACAAAAUUGUUAUCAAAUAUGUAUUUUUCAUAAUCACUAAUUAUCAUAUAUAUGUAAACCAUAUUAGGUAAUUUUGUAGCUUUUAUUUAAAGAAAUAAAAAAAUAUUCUUCGGUACACUAAUAAUUAAUUUGAUAGUUAGUUUAAUAAAAACAUAUUAUAAGUUUUUAUGGACCAACUUAUUUUUCUAAAAAUUAUAAGAAUCAUCUUUGUGAUGAUACGUGGCUAUAAAAACGUGUUAUAAUGUUCCAUGAUUAAUAUAUAGGGGAUAUUUUGUCAACUAUCUAUGUAGAUAAUGUUAUAUAAAGUUAGCUUGAGAGGAUAUUAUUAAUAAUCAAACAAUAACCACGAAAAUAUGUGUGAGCCGUACAUACAAUUAGGAAGGGACCCAAAGAUCAUUGUUGAUAUAUGAAUCGACAUCAAUCCAUAACUACGAACAAGACAUUCUUUCAAACUUUUGUAAAAUCUCCUUUAUAUUUAGAAAUAACUCACGAUUAUCCACCUGAAUCACGUAAUUUCGAAUAAUUUAAUUCUGCAGUGAUUUGAUUUGAUCCAACUCUAGGUCAUGACCAUUUCCUUUUUGUCUCCCACUAACUAUUUCACCCUCCAAGUUCUAAAGCAUUUAUAGAAUAACUCAAAUUGAAUACGUAUACCGAGAAAAUAAGCAAAUAAGAUUGUCUAAUUU